UACGGAGGGUGCAAGCGUUAUCCGGAUUCACUGGGUUUAAAGGGUGCGUAGGCGGACAGGUAAGUCAGUGGUGAAAUCUCUGGGCUUAACCCAGAAACUGCCGUUGAUACUAUUUGUCUUGAACAUCCUGGAGGUAGGCGGAAUAUGUCAUGUAGCGGUGAAAUGCUUAGAUAUGACAUAGAACACCGAUAGCGAAGGCAGCUUACUACAGGAUGAUUGACGCCGAGGCACGAAAGCGUGGGGAGCAAACAGG
rnacentral:rRNA from 1 species